rnacentral:misc_RNA from 1 species
UGUAGGAGUGAGCCUGCUCGCGAUAGCGGUUUGUCAGUCACUACUGUUCUAACUGAUACACCGCUAUCGCGAGCAGGCUCACUCCUACA